GUCCUUAUGAUGCUAGUCCAUGAUGCCUGUCAUUAUGAUGCUAGUCCUUAUGAUGCUAGUCCUUAUGAUGCUAGUGCUUAUGAUGCCUGUCAUUAUGAUGCUCGUCCAUGAUGCUAGUGCUUAUGAUGCCUGUCAUUAUGAUGCUAGUCCUUUGGUUAGAACAGGGAAUAAACUGAUAUCAGUGAAUCAACAACAGAAGAUACAUGGAACUAAUGGUCAUUGAGACCGAGAGAAACGUCACGACUUUCCUUGGUUUAACGAAAGUCAAACCACAACUUCUAAAAAGGAAAAGGUGUACCGGUCAGAAAUGGCUCCUUGAUUUUGGAUUAGUGAAAUCAUUCACAAAUGUGUUUAACGGAGGGACAAAAUGAAAAGUGGAAGAUUCAUUUGAAAUGGUUUUGUUUUGUUGAUAGUAGUAACCCUGUGCAUCAACAUGUAUUUGUCCUUGAAGUAGCAGAAGGUUUUUGGUCUUCUCUGGUAUCCAGAAGGUUUUUGGUCUUCUCUGGUAUCCAGAAGGUUUUUGGUCUUCUCUGGUAUCCAGAAGGUUUUUGGUCUUCUCUGGUAUCCAGAAGGUUUUUGGUCUUCUCUGGUAUCCAGAAGGUUUUUGGUCUUCUCUGGUAUCCAGAAGGUUUUUGGUCUUCUCUGGUAUCCAGAAGGUUUUUGGUCUUCUCUGGUAUCCAGAAGGUUUUUGGUCUUCUCUGGUAUCCAGAAGGUUUUUGGUCUUCUCUGGUAUCCAGAAGGUUUUUGGUCUUCUCUGGUAUCGUUGGCAUCUUUUCCAGUCUGCUCCCCCUCUCCUUCCUAGAAGGGCUAAAAUAAUGAGUCAGAUGUUAUUUUAGAACGACAUGUUCUUUCAGAGCCUCAACAUGUCAGGGCAUGUUAUGAAGCCUUAUAACCUCCGAUAAAUGUUAUUAAUCCUUACAUAAACUUCAAAUUAGUACAAAUGGAACGACAAAGGCCAUUUUAAACACACAUUUGGAUUUAGCCUGAAUGUCUUAAAAAUAUUAAAGUCAUUAAAGUUUUACGAUUUAAAGUCAAGUUAUCCACUUGCGUCAAUGAAUGGGAUUAUGAUUAUAGAAUUUUGUAAAGUAAUCGACAUUGGGAUUAGAUUUAGUUGAUGUGUCUCUGACGACUGGAAAUAAUUCCGUAAUACUAAAUAAUGUUACAUGACGCCGUCUCAUCAGCCUCACGGCACGUCUCUCACCGGCUUUGCAAAUGAGCAGGAUAGGCUAACGUUGAAGAGUUAUAAAUAGCCACGUAACCAUUCAGUUCCAGUUUACACUGAAAGGGGAAGCCGUGUCUCAAAUGGCAUCCUAUUCCCUUUCUAGGGUACUACUUCCCCACGGGGCUCUUGUCAAAGGUAGUGCACUAUAUGGGGAGUAGGGUAGCAUUUGGGACGUACUUCCCCACGGGGCUCUUGUCAAAGGUAGUGUACUAUAUAGGGUGUAGGUUGGCAUUUGGGACGCAGUUCCCCACGGGGCUCUUGUCAAAGGUAGUGCACUAUAUAGGGAGUAGGGUGGCAUUAGGGUACUACUUCCCCACGGGGCUCUUGUCAAAGGUAGUGCACUAUAUAGGGAGUAGGGUGGCAUUUGGGACGCUGUUCCCCACGGGGCUCUUGUCAAAGGUAGUGCACUAUAUAGGGAGUAGGGUGGCAUUUGGGACGUGGCCUGAAGUUCUGUGCCACCACAGAUAUGUGCUUGUUAUUUUGGCUCAUGUGUUUUUUGUUGGCCUCUGGCGGUUGGGUGUGUACACACUACUACACUGAGCCACAAUGGCAGGCCUGUGAACCUAGAGAGGCUGAGCAGACAGCAGAACACUGAGGCCACUCUCUGAGACCCAGGGAACUGCCUGUACCUUGUAGCACAUUACCCCACCUAGAUUUGUCUCGUCAACACCAACUCCCAUCGCAGGUUCGUAUUCACUAGACGCCAAACAUAAGAAAACAGACUGAAACAGGGAAGGAAUAACUGAACUUGUCCAGUAAGAAACGCUUAGUUUUGGAUUAUCUGUUGCAAAACGUUUUGCUACAGUGUGCGCUAAUGAAUAACAACCCAACUCUUAUUUCAGACCUGUAUGAUAUCAUGUUGACUAACUUGUAAAGGGCAAGCCUAUGUGUAACUCUGUGUUGUUGUAUUGGGUCGAAUUGCUAUGCUUUAUCUUGGCCAGGUCGCAGUUGUAAAUGAGACCUUGUUCUCAACUGGCCUACCUGGUUAAAUAAAGGUGUUCUCAACUAGCCUACCUGGUUAAAUAAAGGUGUUCUCAACUAGCCUACCUGGUUAAAUAAUGGUGUUCUCAACUAGCCUACCUGGUUAAAUAAAGGUGUUCUCAACUAGCCUACCUGGUUAAAUAAAGGUGUUCUCAACUAGCCUACCUGGUUAAAUAAAGGUGUUCUCAACUAGCCUACCUGGUUAAAUAAAGGUGUUCUCAACUAGCCUACCUGGUUAAAUAAAGGUGUUCUCAACUAGCCUACCUGGUUAAAUAAAGGUGUUCUCAACUGGCCUACCUGGUUAAAUAAAGGUGUUCUCAACUGGCCUACCUGGUUAAAUAAAGGUGUUCUCAACUAGCCUACCUGGUUAAAUAAAGGUGUUCUCAACUAGCCUACCUGGUUAAAUAAAGGUGUUCUCAACUAGCCUACCUGGUUAAAUAAAGGUGUUCUCAACUGGCCUACCUGGUUAAAUAAAGGUGUUCUCAACUAGCCUACCUGGUUAAAUAAAGGUGUUCUCAACUAGCCUACCUGGUUAAAUAAAGGUGUUCUCAACUAGCCUACCUGGUUAAAUAAAGGUGUUCUCAACUGGCCUACCUGGUUAAAUAAAGGUGUUCUCAACUAGCCUACCUGGUUAAAUAAAGGUGUUCUCAACUAGCCUACCUGGUUAAAUAAAGGUGUUCUCAACUUGCCUACCUGGUUAAAUAAAGGUU